rnacentral:rRNA from 1 species
GACGAACGCUGGCGGCGUGCUUAACACAUGCAAGUCGAACGGAAAGGCCCAGCUUGCUGGGUGCUCGAGUGGCGAACGGGUGAGUAACACGUGGGUGAUCUGCCUCUAACUUCGGGAUAAGCUUGGGAAACUGGGUCUAAUACCGGAUAGGACAAUCGUUUAGUGUCGGUUGUGGAAAGUUUUUUCGGUUAGGGAUGAGCCCGCGGCCUCUCAGCUUGUUGGUGGGGUAAUGGCCUACCAAGGCGUCGACGGGUAGCCGGCCUGAGAGGGUGGACGGCCACAUUGGGACUGAGAUACGGCCCAGACUCCUACGGGAGGCAGCAGUGGGGAAUAUUGCACAAUGGGCGCAAGCCUGAUGCAGCGACGCCGCGUGGGGGAUGACGGCCUUCGGGUUGUAAACCUCUUUCGACAGGGACGAAGCUUUGGUGACGGUACCUGUAUAAGAAGCACCGGCUAACUACGUG